rnacentral:rRNA from 1 species
GUAUAACGGCAANUUAUACAGUGAAACUGCGAAUGGCUCAUUAAAUCAGUUAUCGUUUAUUUGAUAGUUCCUUUACUACAUGGUAUAACUGUGGUAAUUCUAGAGCUAAUACAUGCUUUAAAAUCUCGUUUACCCUUUUGGAAUGUAUUUAUUAGAUUAAAAAAUUCAAUGUCUUCGGACUCUUUGAUGAUUCAUAAUAACUUUUCGAAUCGCAUGGCCUUGUGCUGGCGAUGGUUCCCAUUUCAAAUUUCUGCCCUAUCAACUUUCGAUGGUAGGAUAGUGGCCUACCAUGGUUUNCAACGGGNAACGGGGAAUAAGCGGUUCGAUUCCGGAGAGGGAGCCUGAAAACGGCUACCACCAUCCAAGG